rnacentral:lncRNA from 1 species
CGAUAAAAGAGUAAACACAAUGAUAUAUAGUGGUUCGAUCAAUUCGGUUUACAUCCACUUUGAGAACCGACUUGGAGAGAUUUUAUUAAGAGCAAAAUAUGAUACAAUUACAGAGUUCAGCACAAUAAGUAAUCUAUAAUCAACCACGACAAAACAGACUAUACCGUCCAUAAAAUGCCAAGAGAGACCAAGAGACCCACACUGAACUGAUGUUGAGACCCAAACUCAACACUUAGACCUGACGGAAUACAACUCUGAAACAAGUCUGAAGCAAGAAAGUUGCUUCUGCCCGAAGCCAAUCACCAAUGGAGUAACGCCGCAAACGAGCAUUGUUCACCGUUGUGUAGGAACUCCGACGUCAAUGCUCGUCAAACGUCUUUGUUUCUCCCUCACUCUCUUCUUUGCGUUAACUGUCGGUUGCC